rnacentral:rRNA from 1 species
CAGGCUUAACACAUGCAAGUCGAGGGGCAUCAGGAAGAAAGCUUGCUUUCUUUGCUGGCGACCGGCGCACGGGUGAGUAACACGUAUCCAACCUGCCCUUUACUCGGGGAUAGCCUUUCGAAAGAAAGAUUAAUACCCGAUAGCAUAAUGAUUCCGCAUGGUUUCAUUAUUAAAGGAUUCCGGUAAAGGAUGGGGAUGCGUUCCAUUAGGUUGUUGGUGAGGUAACGGCCCACCAAGCCUUCGAUGGAUAGGGGUUCUGAGAGGAAGGUCCCCCACAUUGGAACUGAGACACGGUCCAAACUCCUACGGGAGGCAGCAGUGAGGAAUAUUGGUCAAUGGGCGCUAGCCUGAACCAGCCAAGUAGCGUGAAGGAUGAAGGCUCUAUGGGUCGUAAACUUCUUUUAUAUAAGAAUAAAGUGCAGUAUGUAUACUGUUUUGUAUGUAUUAUAUGAAUAAGGAUCGGCUAACUCCGUGCCAGCAGCCGCGGUAAUACGGAGGAUCCGAGCGUUAUCCGGAUUUAUUGGGUUUAAAGGGAGCGUAGGUGGACUGGUAAGUCAGUUGUGAAAGUUUGCGGCUCAACCGUAAAAUUGCAGUUGAUACUGUCAGUCUUGAGUACAGUAGAGGUGGGCGGAAUUCGUGGUGUAGCGGUGAAAUGCUUAGAUAUCACGAAGAACCCCGAUUGCGAAGGCAGCUCACUGGACUGCAACUGACACUGAUGCUCGAAAGUGUGGGUAUCAAACAGGAUUAGAUACCCUGGUAGUCCACACAGUAAACGAUGAAUACUCGCUGUUUGCGAUAUACAGUAAGCGGCCAAGCGAAAGCAUUAAGUAUUCCACCUGGGGAGUACGCCGGCAACAGUGAAACUCAAAGGAAUUGACGGGGGCCCGCACAAGCGGAGGAACAUGUGGUUUAAUUCGAUGAUACGCGAGGAACCUUACCCGGGCUUAAAUUGCAGUGGAAUGAUGUGGAAACAUGUCAGUGAGCAAUCACCGCUGUGAAGGUGCUGCAUGGUUGUCGUCAGCUCGUGCCGUGAGGUGUCGGCUUAAGUGCCAUAACGAGCGCAACCCUUAUCUUUAGUUACUAACAGGUUAUGCUGAGGACUCUAGAGAGACUGCCGUCGUAAGAUGUGAGGAAGGUGGGGAUGACGUCAAAUCAGCACGGCCCUUACGUCCGGGGCUACACACGUGUUACAAUGGGGGGUACAGAAGGCAGCUAGCGGGUGACCGUAUGCUAAUCCCAAAAUCCUCUCUCAGUUCGGAUCGAAGUCUGCAACCCGACUUCGUGAAGCUGGAUUCGCUAGUAAUCGCGCAUCAGCCACGGCGCGGUGAAUACGUUCCCGGGCCUUGUACACACCGCCCGUCAAGCCAUGGGAGCCGGGGGUACCUGAAGUACGUAACCGCAAGGAUCGUCCUAGGGUAAAACUGGUGACUG